rnacentral:rRNA from 1 species
GAUGAACGCUGGCGGCGUGCCUAAUACAUGCAAGUCGAGCGAACGGACGAGAAGCUUGCUUCUCUGAUGUUAGCGGCGGACGGGUGAGUAACACGUGGAUAACCUACCUAUAAGACUGGGAUAACUUCGGGAAACCGGAGCUAAUACCGGAUAAUAUUUUGAACCGCAUGGUUCAAACGUGAAAGACGGUCUUGCUGUCACUUAUAGAUGGAUCCGCGCUGCAUUAGCUAGUUGGUAAGGUAACGGCUUACCAAGGCAACGAUGCAUAGCCGACCUGAGAGGGUGAUCGGCCACACUGGAACUGGGACACGGUCCAGACUCCUACGGGAGGCAGCAGUAGGGAAUCUUCCGCAAUGGGCGAAAGCCUGACGGAGCAACGCCGCGUGAGUGAUGAAGGUCUUCGGAUCGUAAAACUCUGUUAUUAGGGAAGAACAUAUGUGUAAGUAACUGUGCACAUCUUGACGGUACCUAAUCAGAAAGCCACGGCUAACUACGUGCCAGCAGCCGCGGUAAUACGUAGGUGGCAAGCGUUAUCCGGAAUUAUUGGGCGUAAAGCGCGCGUAGGCGGUUUUUUAAGUCUGAUGUGAAAGCCCACGGCUCAACCGUGGAGGGUCAUUGGAAACUGGAAAACUUGAGUGCAGAAGAGGAAAGUGGAAUUCCAUGUGUAGCGGUGAAAUGCGCAGAGAUAUGGAGGAACACCAGUGGCGAAGGCGACUUUCUGGUCUGUAACUGACGCUGAUGUGCGAAAGCGUGGGGAUCAAACAGGAUUAGAUACCCUGGUAGUCCACGCCGUAAACGAUGAGUGCUAAGUGUUAGGGGGUUUCCGCCCCUUAGUGCUGCAGCUAACGCAUUAAGCACUCCGCCUGGGGAGUACGACCGCAAGGUUGAAACUCAAAGGAAUUGACGGGGACCCGCACAAGCGGUGGAGCAUGUGGUUUAAUUCGAAGCAACGCGAAGAACCUUACCAAAUCUUGACAUCCUUUGACAACUCUAGAGAUAGAGCCUUCUCCUUCGGGGGACAAAGUGACAGGUGGUGCAUGGUUGUCGUCAGCUCGUGUCGUGAGAUGUUGGGUUAAGUCCCGCAACGAGCGCAACCCUUAAGCUUAGUUGCCAUCAUUAAGUUGGGCACUCUAAGUUGACUGCCGGUGACAAACCGGAGGAAGGUGGGGAUGACGUCAAAUCAUCAUGCCCCUUAUGAUUUGGGCUACACACGUGCUACAAUGGACAAUACAAAGGGCAGCGAAACCGCGAGGUCAAGCAAAUCCCAUAAGGUUGUUCUCAGUUCGGAUUGUAGUCUGCAACUCGACUACAUGAAGCUGGAAUCGCUAGUAAUCGUAGAUCAGCAUGCUACGGUGAAUACGUUCCCGGGUCU